CAGCAGCCACGGGAAUACGGAGGGAGCUAGCGUUGUUCGGAAUUACUGGGCGUAAAGCGCGCGUAGGCGGUUACUCAAGUCAGAGGUGAAAGCCCGGGGCUCAACCCCGGAACUGCCUUUGAAACUAGGUGACUAGAAUCUUGGAGAGGUCAGUGGAAUUCCGAGUGUAGAGGUGAAAUUCGUAGAUAUUCGGAAGAACACCAGUGGCGAAGGCGACUGACUGGACAAGUAUUGACGCUGAGGUGCGAAAGCGUGGGGAGCAAACAGGAUUAGAUACCCCUGUAGUCCCUGUCUCUUAUAA
rnacentral:rRNA from 1 species